rnacentral:misc_RNA from 1 species
GCCCGUCUGUUGUGUGACUC